rnacentral:rRNA from 1 species
AAUUUUGGACAAUGGGGGCAACCCUGAUCCAGCCAUGCCGCGUGCGGGAAGAAGGCCUUCGGGUUGUAAACCGCUUUUGUCAGGGAAGAAACGCGCUGGGCUAAUACUCCGGCGUAAUGACGGUACCUGAAGAAUAAGCGCCGGCUAACUACGUGCCAGCAGCCGCGGUAAUACGUAGGGUGCAAGCGUUAAUCGGAAUUACUGGGCGUAAAGCGUGCGCAGGCGGCUUUGCAAGACAGAUGUGAAAUCCCCGGGCUUAACCUGGGAACUGCAUUUGUGACUGCAUGGCUGGAGUGCGGCAGAGGGGGAUGGAAUUCCGCGUGUAGCAGUGAAAUGCGUAGAUAUGCGGAGGAACACCGAUGGCGAAGGCAAUCCUCUGGGCCUGCACUGACGCUCA